CUCCAGUCUUGAUGGUGUCAUGGAGAAGAAAUGAAAUGGCAAGGGCUCCUGAUUCAGUUCCCAAUCUGUAAAGUGAGCAGGAUGGACCAGCUCAGGGUCAUAAGAGUCGCUGGCAUCGUCCAAGUGGUUUUAAGGAUAUUUCUUCUUGGUCCUUCUACUUCCCUUCUUCCCUGCUGAGAUUAGUCUGGAGCAGGAGCUCAGGAAUCUGCAUUUUAUAAAAGCCACCCCUCACCAGCAGUUUAAUGUACACUGAGGAGGGAACCCUGGAGGAGAAGAGUCUUUGAGGACUGCCAUCAACAAUAAAAUUCCAUGAACAGGAUUUUGGGAGAAGAAACAACUUCUUACAUUUUAACCAGAUCUUUAAGCUGUUGGAAUAAUUAGCUGGUUUAUCUUAAUUUGAUGAUCCAAUUGGAACAAACUCCAGAGAGAACACAACAAAGGGGGAUACUGCUUCUGAUUCCUGGAUUUGCAUUGGAGAUGUCAAGAGAUAUAUGACGAUUUUGAACAGCUUUCUGGGACUCAGGUUUAGCUGGGCUCAGUGGUGGUUCUUCCUCUUAUACGGUAUUGAUUAGGAUCCCUUGAGUGAUUGUCCUCCUCCGGAAGCUUGACUUGAACUGGAAAUCCAAGAUGGCUCUGAUGACAUGGUGGACAGAGCAACAAGGGUGACUGUGAGCUGGCUGGGCCUCUCUCUUACCUUAUGAUUCAAAAUGGGUUUUGCCUUGUGAACAGGUAAAAGCAGAAGUUGUCAGAUUUCUUAAGCGCUGGACCUAAAACUUGUACAACAUAGUUUCCAUCAUAUUAUAUAGGUAACAGCGAAUCAUAAGGCCACAGUGGAGGGGAAAUAUAUUUCAAGCUCAGUGGGAGGAGCUAAUGUAGGGAGAGGGUGAGUAUUUGGCAGGCAUCUUCACAGUUUAUGACAUUUUUUUCUAUUUUAUCUAAUCCCUUUAUUUAUCAGCUAAGACAGUUCUUAAUAAUAAAUACAUACCACAACUGUACAACUAGCAUAUUUGGCAACAAAAAACUGUGUAUAAUUUUUAUGCAUAGUAAUAUGUACCCAUAAGUAAUAUUUUCCACACCAUCCAGGAACCAGUGUUGGAAACAUUAUAAAAUUCUGUGGUAAAAAAGGUGUAGAGAGGGGAGUGUGAAAUGAUUUCCUUCCUCUCCAGUCCCCUUUUGGAGAGUCACAGUGCAUUUUAGUGUAGAAAAAGAAAUCCUAAAAGUACAGAAGGAAAGAUACUUUUUUUUUUUCAAAGGAAAUUUGGGUGAGCUUCUCAUUAUACUUACCCAUAAUGAGAUGAUUUCCUCACUUUGCUUUCAGGUGCUUUACUGACAUUUCUCAAAAGAAAUACAAAUGAACAACAAAUACAUGAAAAAAUGUUCAACAUCCCUAGCAAUCACGGAAAUGCAAAUCAAAACUAUAUUGUGAUUUCAUUUCACCCCAGCUAAAAUGGCAAUCAAUCAUCAAGGAUACAAAUAAUAAAUGCUGGCCAGGAUAUGGGGGAAAGAUACACUCAUAUAUUGUUGGUGGGACUUUAAAUUAGUACAACCACCUUGGAAAGUAAUAUGGAGACACCUCAAAAAUCUAGGAAUGGAACCACCAUAUGAUCAACUAUUCCACUUCCUGAUAUUUAACCAAAAGAAGUAAAAUCAUCAUACUAUAGUGAUACAUGCAUACCAAUGUUUAUAGCAGUGCAAUUCACAACAUCUAAGUUAUAGAACCAACCCAGAUGCCUGUCAACAGAUGAAUGAAUAAAGAAAA